rnacentral:rRNA from 1 species
AACCUGCCCAAUAGAUCGGGAUAACACCUGGAAACAGAUGCUAAUACCGGAUAACAACAGAUGAUGCCUAUCAACUGUUUAAAAGAUGGUUCUGCUAUCACUCUUUGGAUGGACCUGCGGUGCAUUAGCUAGUUGGUAGGGUAACGGCCUACCAAGGCGAUGAUGCAUAGCCGAGUUGAGAGACUGAUCGGCCACAUUGGGACUGAGACACGGCCCAAACUCCUACGGGAGGCAGCAGGU